AGGACCAUAGCAAACUUGUUUAACUCUUGCUCUGAAAUCCAUGUUCUGUGUAUCUGUGUAACAAGGGAGAAGAGUGGGAAUGGGAAGUGACACAAGAAGAAGGGACACUGUUUGGAUGACUGAAUUUGGUCCAGCAGAAGGCAGGAAACAUAAAGGCAAUGGAGGAUGGCAGGGCAAAUGCACCUUACAGCUGGAUUGAUUUAGAGUUGUUGAGAAAUCAUCACUCUAGAAGUUAUUUCUCUAAGUGUUUCUAAACAUCAGUCUUGGUCUCAGGCCAUGUAAAUCUCAUUAUCUGCCCAGAACAGAUGAUUAUCUCUGAAAAUAUGUUCUGCCAUCCACAGGUUAUAAUUGCAGUUAGAAGCUACUUUCAGAUCUUUUUAGCACAAAAAGAUAUAAUUAAAUGUUAGUUCUGUAUAGAAGCCUUGUAUACAAGAAAAUCAUGCUCCUCAUAAUCAUUCUAUUUCAUUUUCAGAUUGUAAUGGGUUGUUCAGCAGGGCUGUCCACAUAAAAAAUCAUCUUUUAUUAUCACAGAGUAAAGCCUGUGACUGUCUUCUGUGAUCAAAAGGAGAGGGUUAGCCAUCUGUGAGCAGGUUCAAAGCUCUCAGAUAUGGGAAAUAAGGGAGUUGCUGCGUUUCAGAAUCUUCACCUAAACCACUACUGGCAAUGGCACUGGAUUCCCCAGUGAUAAUGAAGCCACAUUCCCAAAUACAAAAGUAUUAUUAAACUAAUAUUUCCUCUCCUGGUGCAGGAAACAGGAGCCCAGUUGAGUUGAAACCUUGUUAAUGAGAAACUAUCUGCCAAAAUUACAUGUCCCAUUAAGGCUCAGCAUUUUAUACACUUGCAUUAUUGUGCCUUCUUCCCUGAGUUUGAGCCCAGUUUCCUGAAGUAAAAGCAACUUCAUAAAAACUGGGAAGGCAUGAUGUGAGGAACAGUAGCUGAGGGCUUUGAGUACACAAAUACCAUUGCUGCAUCUAGUUUUAGUGGUGUGGAUUGUGGGAAAGGGCAGCUCUUCUAAAAGGAUUUAUAAGUUUAUGUGAUGAGGGGAAAGUGCAACUGAGCUACAGAAUGGUGUGCAUUUUCUCUCUGAUAGCCUCAUCCUCUGAUAUCCAGAUUAUGCUCCACUGUCCUUGGCCAUGCUCUGUGCCUUAAUUUGCUAAGAAUGUUGUUACACUAUUAUAUUUACUUAGUUAACCCAAAUAAAGCCAAACUCCCAAGAAUCUGCUGGGUUUGG
rnacentral:lncRNA from 1 species